GAAAAAAGAAGAAAGAAAGAAAAGAGAGGAGAAGAAACAGCAAACACAAACACACAUGUGCAGCUGAGGAGGUUGCUGGCAUCACAGAAGCAUGAGACCCUGGAUCCUCGGUCUAAUCUGGGCUCUACCACCGAAGAGACACCGGCCUUGAGCAUGUCCUGCAAACUCCCUGAGCCUCAGGUUCUUUGUCUAAGCAGCAACAGUUGGUGGAGAAACAGUGCGUGCGCUUUGCCAUUCCCGCUUGUGAAGUCCAUUUUGGAAACACCAGGUGGCCCAUCGAUAAUGUCCUUGGGGAAGUCGGAGGUGGGUUUAAGAUACACGGAAAUCAGGCUGCAUCAAGAACGUGUAACAAUGCAGGAGAGAGGUGGGCACCCUGCAGGGAAGG